UACGUAGGGUGCAAGCGUUAUCCGGAAUUAUUGGGCGUAAAGAGCUCGUAGGCGGUUUGUCGCGUCUGCUGUGAAAACCCGAGGCUCAACCCCCAGCCUGCAGUGGGUACGGGCAGACUAGAGUGCGGUAGGGGAGAUUGGAAUUCCUGGUGUAGCGGUGGAAUGCGCAGAUAUCAGGAGGAACACCCGUGGCGAAAGCGGCUCUCUGGGACGGUACUGACGCUGAGACGCGAAAGCGUGGGGAGCGAACAGG
rnacentral:rRNA from 1 species